AGGAAUACCUUGGUGAGGAACCAUUUAAAGACAUUACAAACCUGGCAGUUAAACUGGAUAAACUGAAAAGGCUAUUCAUGAAGUAUGACUACACCACUAGUGGAAAAAUUGAUUAUAAUGCCUUUCAUGCCAUGGCUCGGGAACUUCGUGUUUUUACUACUCUGGCAGAGCUGAAGAAAAGAGUACAGGAAAUAACUGGUAAUACAAGAAACAUCCUUUCCUAUAAAGACUGUGCCAUGGCCAUGUUGGGCCGACGCUCAACU